AGAUGUGUAAUCAAUUAUCAAGUAUUAAUUUUCUGUACAUAAUUAACUUUGCGGACUUUGUGAAAGCAAUAAAAGCACAUCAAAUAGUUUUCAGGACAUUAAUAUACAUAUUUGACGAAACCUAUAAAUAUUAUACCAUCAUAAAUACACGUAAUUAAGACCGCUUUGAACAAAACCAGGGCAAUAAAAUAGAUAAUAACCCUUAUAAAAGCAAAGUGGGUUUGAUGAUAUUGUCUUACAAUCUAUAGGGUUUAAGCUUGCUGAUUUUGCAAGAAAAAAAAUUCUCAAUACAAAGCCACAAAACUU
rnacentral:lncRNA from 1 species